rnacentral:lncRNA from 1 species
GACUUAUGCCAUUUUUAAAAAGAUCUACCGAAACUAAAAUCAUUACGAGCAGUGGUUUUUGAAAAAUCAGAAAAUGUUCGAAUGGGCUCAUAAAAAUACAAGAUUUUAACAAUAGUGAGAGUACUCAUAAAACAUUGCCAAAAUCGCCUCACAUAACACUGCCAAAACAAUGAGCUUCCGCAGUUUUCGAGCUUCACCCUAAGUUCGGUUUUUUACACUCACAAACACAUCAAAAUCAUAUUUCCAAGCAUAAAUUAUUGUAAUCAUGUAAUGGCUCAUAUAUCACUUCAUGGAACAAAGGGAACAUGCUAAAGUGUGCGUGUGUUGACCAAGCGGCAAGGGCUUAAUGCCUAAGGCCAAAGGUCUUGGGUUCAAGCUCCCUAUGGCGCGGCCUUUUAAUUUCUUUAUUUAAUAUUGUUAAUUUAUAUAUAUAAAAAAAUGAAAAUGCUAAGAAAACAUACUAGGCCUUCUAAAAGGCACUUACCCUCGUUGCCAACUUUUCACUCUAAUUUUACGUCCAAACUCUUCACUCUAGUUUUCUUUCACCUGCUGCCUUGGCUUAGUUGAAGCUUCAAGAAGAUGCUCUUGGGAUGGUGUGGAGGAGGAAGAAGGUGCAAGAUGUGUGUGUAUUUGGAAAAUGGGGAAAGAUGAGGGAGAUAGAGAUUAGAGAGUGCUUUCUUUUGUCUUGCUUGUGUUAGGAUUUCAAGUGGAAGACAAAUGAAUAAUUAUUACACUGAAUUGAGGGGGGGAGGGGGACCAAACAUGAUAGAGGAGAGAGAGGGAUUCCCACCAAUGCAUGUGGUGCCUUUGGUGCACUUUAUAAUAAUGAAUUUUCCCUUCCCAUGCAUAGCUUGUAGUUGUAGGUAAUGACGCCCCUUAGACUCAUUUUAAAAUUCAAAUUUUGGUUGAAAAUAUAAGCUUAAAAAUAGAUGAAUAUAGCUGAAAAU